CUGGAGAAAGAGGAACAGAGAGAGAGGGAGGGAGGAAAGGGAACGAGAUGGAAAGCAAGUCUGAACGCCAACACACAUAAAACAUUGGUGUCCCAGUGGAACUACAGUCCCUGAGAUGCUCCACCAGCAGACAGAUCCGGCCUGUGAGCUGAGCAGCACGGCACUGUUUCUCAAACCACUUUGCUGAGCUCGUCUUUGCAGGAACAGCAGCUUACGAACUGUAUAUCUCCAUAAAAACACAACACCUUGGUUGGGAUCCCAUUUUGCACUGUUGGGAUCUCUGCAGUCUUGUUAUUGGCUUUUGAAGAUCCAUGCUCCAUAUAAUAAUUUCUCCAUCGUAACUCCCAGUUGCCAAAAGUCCCA